UCGGGAAUUUUGGGCAAUGGGCGAAAGCCUGACCCAGCAACGCCGCGUGAAGGAUGAAGUAUUUCGGUAUGUAAACUUCGUAAGAAUAGGAAGAAUAAAUGACGGUACUAUUUGUAAGGUCCGGCUAACUACGUGCCAGCAGCCGCGGUAAUACGUAGGGACCAAGCGUUGUUCGGAUUUACUGGGCGUAAAGGGCGCGUAGGCGGCAAUUCAAGUCAUCUGUGAAAUCUCUGGGCUUAACUCGGAACGGUCAGAUGAUACUGCUUUGCUAGAGUGCAGAAGGGGCAAUCGGAAUUCUUGGUGUAGCGGUGAAAUGCGUAGAUAUCAAGAGGAACACCUGAGGUGAAGACGGGUUGCUGGGCUGACACUGACGCUGAGGCGCGAAAGCCAGGGGAGCAAACGGGGAUUAGAUACCCGCGUAGUCCCUGAGCGGGCUGGCAAGGCGCAU
rnacentral:rRNA from 1 species